GUCUCUGUAGCGCAGUGGAUAGUGCGUUGGACUUCUAAUCCAAAGUCGUGGUUUCGAAUCCCACCUGGGACG
rnacentral:tRNA from 1 species